rnacentral:rRNA from 1 species
GUAGGGGCCAAGCGUUGUCCGGAUUUAUUGGGCGUAAAGGGCUCGUAGGCGGUUCAGCAAGUCAAUCGUGAAAGCUCGGGGCUCAACCCCGAGACUGCGGUCGAAACUGCUGUGACUAGGGUCCGGUAGAGGUGAGUGGAAUUCUCGGUGUAGCGGUGAAAUGCGCAGAUAUCGAGAGGAACACCGGUAGCGAAGGCGGCUCACUGGGCCGGUACCGACGCUGAUGAGCGAAAGCGUGGGGAGCAAACAGGGAUUAGAUACCCUGGUAGUCCACGCCGUAAACGUUGAACACUAGGUGUGGCGGACUUAUCCACGUCUGCUGUGCCGCAGCUAACGCAUUAAGUGUUCCGCCUGGGAGUACGGCCGCAAGGCUA